rfam:Macrostomum lignano uti_cns_0004718, whole genome shotgun sequence.
AAAACGGCCCUUUUCAGGGCCACCAAGCUCGCAUGAUGUCUGACA